UUGUCUUAGGCGCCUACUACGU
rnacentral:siRNA from 1 species